GACGAACGCUGGCGGCGUGCUUAACACAUGCAAGUCGAACGGAAAGGCCCUGCUUGCAGGGUACUCGAGUGGCGAACGGGUGAGUAACACGUGGGUGAUCUGCCCUGCACUUCGGGAUAAGCCUGGGAAACUGGGUCUAAUACCGGAUAGGAGCCAUUUUUCGUGUGAUGGUUGGAAAGUUUUUUCGGUGUAGGAUGAGCUCGCGGCCUAUCAGCUUGUUGGUGGGGUAAUGGCCUACCAAGGCGGCGACGGGUAGCCGGCCUGAGAGGGUGGACGGCCACAUUGGGACUGGGAUACGGCCCAGACUCCUACGGGAGGCAGCAGUGGGGAAUAUUGCACAAUGGGCGCAAGCCUGAUGCAGCGACGCCGCGGGGGGGAUGACGGCCUUCGGGUUGUAAACUCCUUUCGCUAGGGACGAAGCUUUUUGUGACGGUACCUAGAUAAGAAGCACCGGCUAACUACGUG
rnacentral:rRNA from 1 species